UUGGGUCCGAAUUGUAAUUUGUAGAGGAUGAUUUUGGUGCGGUAUCUUCCGAGUUCCUUGGAACAGGACGCCUUAGAGGGUGAGAGCCCCGUACGGUUGAAUGCCUAGCCUCUGUAAAUCUCCUUCGACGAGUCGAGUAGUUUGGGAAUGCUGCUCUAAAUGGGAGGUAAAUUUCUUCUAAAGCUAAAUAUUGGCCAGAGACCGAUAGCGCACAAGUAGAGUGAUCGAAAGAUGAAAAGCACUUUGAAAAGAGGGUUAAAUAGCACGUGAAAUUGUUGAAAGGGAAGGAUUUGUGACCAGACUUUUUCUGGGCGGAUCAUCCGGGGUUCUCUCCGGUGCACUUCGCCCAGUAAAGGCCAGCAUCGGUUUUCGGCGUGGGAUAAAAGCAGUAGGAAUGUGGCUCUCUACGGGGAGUGUUAUAGCCUAUUGUAUAAUACCGCGCUGGGGACCGAGGUUCGCGCUUCUGCAAGGAUGCUGGCGUAAUGGUUAUCAAUCACCCGUCUUGAAACACGGACCAAGGAGUCGAACAUUUGUGCGAGUGUUUGGGUGUUAAACCCUCACGCGUAAUGAAAGUGAACGGAGGUGAGAGCCCUUACGGGUGCAUCAUCGACCGAUCCUGAAGUUUUCGGAUGGAUUUGAGUAAGAGCAUAACUGUUCGGACCCGAAAGAUGGUGAACUAUGCGUGGAUAGGGUGAAGCCAGAGGAAACUCUGGUGGAGGCUCGCAGCGGUUCUGACGUGCAAAUCGAUCGUCAAAUCUGCGCAUGGGGGCGAAAGACUAAUCG
rnacentral:rRNA from 1 species